CACGUAGGGUGCGAGCGUUGUCCGGAAUUAUUGGGCGUAAAGAGCUCGUAGGCGGUGUGUCGCGUCGGCCGUGAAAACCUGCAGCUUAACUGUGGGCUUGCGGUCGAUACGGGCAUCACUGGAGUUCGGCAGGGGGAGACUGGAAUUCCUGGUGUAGCGGUGAAAUGCGCAGAUAUCAGGAGGAACACCGGUGGCGAAGGCGGGU
rnacentral:rRNA from 1 species